rnacentral:rRNA from 1 species
AGUGAACGCUGGCGGUAGGCCUAACACAUGCAAGUCGAACGGCAGCACAGUAAGAGCUUGCUCUUACGGGUGGCGAGUGGCGGACGGGUGAGGAAUACAUCGGAAUCUACUUUUUCGUGGGGGAUAACGUAGGGAAACUUACGCUAAUACCGCAUACGACCUACGGGUGAAAGCAGGGGAUCUUCGGACCUUGCGCGAUUGAAUGAGCCGAUGUCGGAUUAGCUAGUUGGCGGGGUAAAGGCCCACCAAGGCGAUGAUCCGUAGCUGGUCUGAGAGGAUGAUCAGCCACACUGGAACUGAGACACGGUCCAGACUCCUACGGGAGGCAGCAGUGGGGAAUAUUGGACAAUGGGCGCAAGCCUGAUCCAGCCAUACCGCGUGAGUGAAGAAGGCCUUCGGGUUGUAAAGCCCUUUUGUUGGGAAAGAAAAGCAGCAGGUUAAUACCCCGCUGUUCUGACGGUACCCAAAGAAUAAGCACCGGCUAACUUCGUG